UAGAACUUAUUUGAUAUGAUUUAUUGGUGUGAGAGAGAUGCUCAAAUGAGUGGUUUACUCUUGGUUGGGUAUUGAAGGACUUAAUUUCAUGUAAUUAAAAAGUGGUGCAGCCAAACAAGCUGUUGUAAUCGUUUACAAGACACCGAUAAACGAUUACGUGAACUGAUUCCGUGUUUUGGACACAAAGUUGACCACAGGGAGCCAAGUUUUAUUUCACAGAGGACCACGUGUUUACUGUCUGAGGUACAACACACUUAGAACUUAUUUGAUAUGAUUUAUUGGUGUGAGAGAGAUGCUCAAAUUAGUGGUUUACUCUUGGUUGGGUACAUCACUCUUGAUUUAUUACAUAUUAGAUUUUAAAAACUACAUUCUUGCACUUACCUGAAAUCCAGAAAAACACCACCAACGAAAUACUAGGCAAUGGUCCGUCAACGACAACGACACACCAACCUUUCGCGAGAUUCACACAACCACCCACACCACUACAGUGAUGGUCCGACCCACACGGCGGCAGUGACGAUGAGAGAAAGACAAAACCCAACACCGAACACGACAGAAACGAGAGAAGGAGAAAACCCAGGACCAAAAAUGACAGAAACGAGAGAAGGAGAAAACCUAACACCAGAUUGGAUGGAUAGAUGAUGCGAGACAAACCCAAGAACGAAAUAGAUGAUGCGAUACCGAAAGAGCAAGUGAAAGUGAACGAAAGAGAUGAUGAGUGAACCAAAGAGAAAGAGAAACCGUGAAAAUGAAGAGCGCCAAAUGAAAUUUGCCAUCUUCAAACACCCUGAAGUUCCGAUUAUGCCCCUACCUCAAUUUCAGAAAAUAAUUUAUUUUUUCAAAAACUAGGGCCAAUAAAAAAAUGCCAUGUGGCCGUUGUCAAAAUAGUGUUAAAAUGGAGUGUCAACCUAUCAUUUUCCUUUACAAUUUCUAUUUGGAAGCAGCGGGUCCCUUUGGUUUUUAAGAAUAAAGGUGUUGCAACUUUUCUUAGAAAAAUGGAGCCCACGGUUUUUUUUUUUUAUAGUUUAUAUAUGAUAUGCAUUUAAUACUGUUACGCAUUCUAAGGUUAUUC
rnacentral:lncRNA from 1 species